GACUCUGGAAUGAGAUCGUCAUCAUCGGAGCAUCCUUAUCUAAGCAUUCAUCCGGAUGUGCACAUGCGAUCGGAUCAAGAGAUCCACACGAUCGAUCCACACGUUUCACCCAAUUCUACCCAACGGCCAAAAUAUAAACAAUACGCAACACGUGAGUCGUGGAUUUUCUUGUGGCCCCCAAAAAGCGAAAGUCUGUCGUGCGAACGAGUCCGCAAUAGAAUGGAUGGAACGAGACGGAGCGCAAGGAAAAUUUGUUUUGCCAAGAGGGAAAAUGGAAAAACUGAUUUAAUCUUGUUUAUUUCGGACACCCAGAGGAAAAUGCGCCCUGUCUGCGAUUCUGAAUUUCCUAUUGACAAGCCAUUCGAAAGAUGUCCCAAGGAAGAGAGAUAUGUAUCCGAAUCGGAAAUCCGUGCGUCCUUCUGAUGCCAAUGGGAGGUCAAAGUGCCGAAAGAGAGAUGAUGACCAGAUAGAGAAGAGUUCGAAUCGGGAAGGUGGACCAGACCUGUUCGUUCUGGAACGGGGCAGUUUGGACCCAACAUUCUGUGAGUCUGGUAAAAAUACACACUCUUCAGUGCUGACGUUGACAUUGGGUGACGUCUCUUUCGACCAAAUGGCUAUCUGCCCUAAAUAUACAUAUAUACUUCUAUAUCCACCAGAUCGGUGCGUGAUGUCGGGCCAAGUGAGCCGAAAGCUCGUGCAGUCAGUCUGCUGAACUCGAAUACGGAUUUGGAUGCCAUUCGGACAUUCCUGAACCGGACGGACACGUGCGACUUGGCCAGUAGCGAGUAGCUAGUAAUUCCCCUGCAAACGGGCCAUAUUUAUCGGGGGUGCUGGUCCAAUUCGAAUUAGCAUGCAAAUACGAGGAGAAACAACGGCCAAGUGAAAAAAUAUUCCCACAAUUUAAAUGCAAAUUUUGAGUAAACAAAACCAGGCGCACAAUAUUUACUUGUGUGUUAUUUUCCAUGCUGAAUAUGAAAUGAUAUAUCAAUCAAAUUAUAUGUAAAUACGGGUAUUGCAACAGUUCUCCGCCCCUAAUUGCAAAGCGCGAUCGCCGGUACAGUCUGCAUGGCGAAGGGUCAACGCUGCGAUAACGAUAACCCAAUCGGUGGCUCCACCCCCUCCACACUACGCAAUUC